CACGCAAACAUUUCCCACACAACGAUCAGAACAUUCAGUCCGUUACAGUUUGAUGUUUUCAGGCUUGAUGUUUAUUCUGUGAUUAUUAAUCAGUGAUCGCUGUGGGAGAUUAGCUACCGUUGCUAUAAGCUAAGCUAGCUCAGCUAAUUUAAACACCUGAUCUACUGAUGACUGAGUUGAUGUUUUAGGUCGACUGUUUUUACUUUUUAACUGAACCGAAACACCGAGUUCCACAGCACAUCUACAUGUUAAGGUCGUCAUAGUCAAGCUAGCAUAACUGGCCUACUUCGUUAUCUAGUUGUUAUUUUUACAAUUAGUAUCAAAGCUCUGCUUCCGUUUUUCUUCAGCAUUUAUGUUGACAAGUUGACGGCUAAAUCCAGUGCUAGUUGUCAGCAGCUGUUUAGCCUCCAGCAGGGAGACAGGCCGUCACGCUGCACUGUGUCUAUAAAUAGCAGAUGGGUUUAAAUAUUUAUUAUUCUUACAAUAAUACUAAUCAAUAAUUAUCUAAAUGUCUGCACUUUAAAGAAGCAGCUGAGCUGAACGAGGAUUCACCUUCAGAGCCUGACAGAGACGGAGAGGCAGCAGAUAAAGAGCAACACAAGUGGACAUCAGGCCUGGUGCUUGUAUGGCAAAUGGAAGGCAAACAGAGCGCCGCGCUGCGCAGGAAGGGGCACCCGCCGCGCUGCGGCAGAUAAUUGAAUCCUUCACAUGUGGAUACAAGAACCCAACUUGGAACAGGUGGGCCUGCUUUUAUUUAAAAAUAAAAACAACAAAAGAAAUGUUAGCCGCUGAAAAAUUAAAGAUGGCAGC